rnacentral:tRNA from 1 species
GCGCCGGUAGUGUAGGGGUUAUCACUGUGCCUUGCCAAGGCACCGACCCGGGUUCGAAUCCCGGCCGGCGCA